CAGAAUCUAGUUUAUUCUAUUAAAAGUUAAAACAACAACAUGACCUAUUGAUAUAUGUGUAGUCCAACUAUUUUAAUUCAAUUAUUAAAACUUCUUAUUAAUCAUUUAAGAUAAAUAUUAUACAAAAAAAACACAAAUAUGGUUAAAAAUACAAAAAUGAAAAAUUAAAUUUGUAAAAAAAUAUAAAAUAAAAAAUAUAUCCACUCUUUUAAGGACAUGUCAGAAUCUAGUGAACAAUUAAAUUAUCGAAUGUAUGUUUGUAGUUUAUAACAUUUUGAGAAUUUCUUUACCUUUCGUCAGAGAUAAAGAUGCUAGCAAAAAAAGUUUUAAUAUUUCUGUCAAAGAAUAUGUAUAAGUACGUGACAGUGGAAGCUUUAAAAUAUUUUUUCUUCAGCUGAACAACCUAAAUAUGAUGAUAUUGUAUGAGAAGUAUCAUAUAUUAUUGUUUCCAUUGAUCAUUUUCUGUAAUAGGUAGUUGUGACUCGUGAAUUUUUGUUAGUUGUUAAUCAUCAUAGGCUUCUAUUCAAUCCAUGCGACAUUUCAUGCAAUGGAAUAUUAUUAUUCUCCGCGUGCCUUAAAGCACCUUUAUCCCAGUUUCUGUUGGAGGUUUUAAAAGUUAAUGGUACAUUUAAUUAAAUGAAAAGAAAUUAAAUGAAAAGAAAUUAAAUUGUAUGUAACCGAUAGGGGGAUUUUUGGAACCACUUACAAAGUGGGCUCUAUGUGCACAUGUCAGCUAGCUAGGAGUGGAUGAUUUAUUAAUGUUUUUUUUCCUCCUCUCUUUCUUUUUUCGUCUUCUCCGUUUCUCUCUUCUCCCGUGUUCUCCGAAGGACGAGGAGUCUGAUCCGUCGCUAAGCUGAUGCCAUCCUCCGCGUGCAAUCUCAUCGCCUUCUUCUCUAGCUAUUCUGUCAGCCCAAAUUCGAUCUCCACUUUCCUUCUCCAGCUACACUCCCAAAACUCUAGUAUUCUCCAGAACCAGAAUACAUUAUCUUCCUUCUUCUGUGUUUGCUUCCCAUCGACCCCGCAAUUUCAUCAACGUGGGUUUGUUCAGGGGAUCCUUUCGUUGUUGUGGAUCUUGAAGCCUUUGUCGAGGUAAAGAUUCAUGCUUUAGUCUUGUUGGAGGCUUAAUUAGGAGCGGAUUGUUUUGUUGCUAAUUAACUGAUUUAGUAUUGUGGGAGGUUUAAAUUGAUUGAGAUGUAUCUUCGUAUUUGGGUUAACUGACUUUUGUUGAAGAAUGUAUAUGUCAUAGUUAAGAGCUUUGUGUAAUGAGUUGUUCUAGUGAAUGAUCUCUGUUAAGUAAUUCUUUUUAAUGUCUUGAUAGUUCUUCAAGGCUUCUAUUCGUGUGUGUAUUUGCCUAAUAGAAUAGCAUCAUCUUGAAGCUCUUAUGCUCGUUCUGUUUCGCUUGUCUAUUCGUGUGUGUAUUCGUUUGUGUAUUUGCAUAAUAGAAUAACAUCAUCUUGAAGCUCUUAUCAGAUCUCUGUCUUUAACUUAACCUUGUACAUAGAUUAUUCAUUCUGUUCAUUAAUUCCUUUUAAUGUCUUCAUUCUUUUGCGAGUCCUCUAUUGGUGGUUGAGAUUAUUGUGGCAUAGGAUAAAACACAUCACCUGUCUUGGAGAAGCAACCAUUACCGGUGCCUCUCGGUGAGCAGGUAACAUGACACAAGACGGGAGCUUGGGUGUGGAAGUCAUGUUUUGUUUCUGAAGUCUUGUUUGAAGUGAGAACACGAGUCACCGACGUGGGGGUCAUGUUUGAAGUCAUGUUUGAUCAUGGACUGAAAUGAGCUUUUUGAAGUCAUGUUUGAUCACAGACUGAAAUGAUCUCUUGUUUGAUUGUGUAAUGUAUUUGCUUUAUGUGUCACGGACUGAAAUGGUCUUGUAAAGUCUCGUGUAAUGUAUUUGUUUGAUUGUCUGUAAAAUGUUUUGUAAGUUUAUGUCACGGACUUGGUAAUCAAACGUCAGCUUGUCUCUUA